AUCCAGCUGACGAGUCCCAAAAAGGAUGAAUUGCACAUCUUGGAU
rnacentral:hammerhead_ribozyme from 1 species